rnacentral:rRNA from 1 species
AUUGAACGCUGGCGGCAGGCCUAACACAUGCAAGUCGAACGGUAGCACAGAGAGCUUGCUCUCGGGUGACGAGUGGCGGACGGGUGAGUAACGUCUGGGAAACUGCCCGAUGGAGGGGGAUAACUACUGGAAACGGUAGCUAAUACCGCAUAACGUCGCAAGACCAAAGUGGGGGACCUUCGGGCCUCACACCAUCGGAUGUGCCCAGAUGGGAUUAGCUAGUAGGUGGGGUAAUGGCUCACCUAGGCGACGAUCCCUAGCUGGUCUGAGAGGAUGACCAGCCACACUGGAACUGAGACACGGUCCAGACUCCUACGGGAGGCAGCAGUGGGGAAUAUUGCACAAUGGGCGCAAGCCUGAUGCAGCCAUGCCGCGUGUAUGAAGAAGGCCUUCGGGUUGUAAAGUACUUUCAGCGGGGAGGAAGGCGGUGAAGUUAACAGCUUCACCGAUUGACGUUACCCGCAGAAGAAGCACCGGCUAACUCCGUGCCAGCAGCCGCGGUAA